rnacentral:tRNA from 1 species
GUUCUUGUAGUUGAAAACAACGGUGGUUUUUCAAGCCAUUGGUCUUGGUUUAAGUCCUAGUAAGAAUU